GCUGAUCGAAGAUGCGUAUGAAUAUUUCGGGUGAUCAUUAUCAGUGAGACAGUGAAACGAAUGAGUGUAGGGAAUAAUGCAAAACCAAAUGUUCCACGUAAGCGUACACUGGAGGAAAACAUUACAACUGUGUGUGUGCAAUCGCCAUUUAUCCAGUGGAAGCGAAACGAUUCGGAGCCUUUAUUUAUAUAAAACAAUAACAAGGGUUCACGCAGUCGUAAAAACUGCACUAGCUGAUGAACAAUAUGCGACGGCGGAAGUUCCACAAUCUUCGGACGGAGGGAAAGCGAUAUAUGUGUCCCAUCUGCAAUAUAAUUUCCUUCGCAAAUCACGACUUCACGUCCGGUCGCUCAACAACAUCAAAAAACCGUGUCCAAGGAUAAUGGAGAGAGUCAGUUUGUAUGGAAAAUUUGCUUCAACGCACUUCAUUACUGGAUCGGUACCUGCUGCCUUCGCUCGGAUAUGGAGCGCCACAGCAAGUCGUAACAUUCCUAAUUUUGGUCGAAGCGCGGAGGACAUCAUUGGAUGCGCAACCGGAUAAUUCGACCGAGGCGGAGGCGUCGGCAAUCAGCCAAUACGCCAAGGGAAAUAGACAAAGGUAAAGAUCCGUCAGCGAAGGCGUUCGAUAGUGGCAAGAAUGAAAAAGAUUUGGCGCUGGUUUCGAAACCGGUUGAUAGUGCUACGAACGUGGCUAUUUUAGAUUUGAUGUUCCGCUGUCAGUUUCGAUUGGGAUUUCCAGUGAAAAUAGGUAAAUGCUUAUUUAUUUUUAAAAUGUUUGCCACUUUGUUACGCAAUUCGUUCUAUUUUGUAAAAAUAUCGCUAUUCUGUGUGGUUAUCAUAUUUGACAACGUAUUCGCAUAAGAGCCCCCGCAGACUGCAUACUUUUUAUCGGCAGAAAAUUUGAUCGAGUUGGCAUGUUAGUGCAAAAACCGACCCAACUGAAUCGGUAUAAUGUGCGCAUAUGCAUAUCUCUCCAUACUGAUUAAGUUGGCCGAUCAAGCUACGGCCGUAAAACAGUCUGCAGUCUGCGGGGGCUCUAUGAGACACCCGUAACCAGCGUGAGCCACAUCAAGGAAAACGAAGAGCGUGCAACAUACAUUGUCGAGGAUUACUGUUUUGAUGUCCCAUCCGAGUACGUACUACGUGGUGCCGAUUUGAGGAAGCAGGAAAGGGAAAGGAAAACCUACAGGAAAAGCUUUUUCAAUAAUUUUAUAAAAUUAAGAAUAGA